AUUGAACGCUGGCGGCAUGCCUAACACAUGCAAGUCGAACGAGACCUUCGGGUCUAGUGGCGCACGGGUGCGUAACGCGUGGGAAUCUGCCCUUUGCUUCGGAAUAACAGUUAGAAAUGACUGCUAAUACCGGAUGAUGUCUUCGGACCAAAGAUUUGUCGGCAAAGGAUGAGCCCGCGUAGGAUUAGGUAGUUGGUGGGGUAAAGGCCUACCAAGCCGACGAUCCUUAGCUGGUCUGAGAGGAUGAUCAGCCACACUGGGACUGAGACACGGCCCAGACUCCUACGGGAGGCAGCAGUGGGGAAUUAGUGGACAAGUGGGACGAAACGCCUCG
rnacentral:rRNA from 1 species